GAACAGAUAGGGCUUCAAGAUGACAAAAAAAAGCACCAACAAUAAUGGGCCAGGACUGAGGAGUUCCAAGAAAUGAGUAUUCUUCAGCCCACAAAUAUCAGUGCUGCCCCACUGCCCAAAACCAGAGUGUGGCAACAACUAAAUGGACCCUGACAAAUGUCCUCUAUGUUAGAGCCAGUCCCUUACCCAAGUGACCUACUAUUGCACAGCUGAGGUUGUUAUCAAACGCAGCAGUAGGUAUGAAAUGCGGAAACUGUUCCAACUUUAUCAUCAACAGUUGAGUUACACCUCGUCACAAUACCUGAACUGAAAACAAUCGGUGACGAUACUGCACUUCACUUCUACCUCACAGUGCUCUUCCCUAUAAACGCUAGAGUAAAGUUUGCAAAUGGAAAACUUGUCAUUGCAAGCGUGAAAAGACCAAUUGAUUCUUAACAAAACAACCUGCCUCAAUGCUUUAGCUGACACUACAUCAAAUCAACACAAGGCAAUUUGUUUUUCUCGCAACCUGACCGCUCAACUAUUUGAAGAAUGAGGUGGGCUAUACUAUUAGCCCUGGCGUCGCUUUCCGGAUAAAGUUUUAGGGUAAGUUAGGAUUUUCACUUUGAAGUCCAAUACCCUUCAUUCAAUUGACUUAAUACGUCACACAGUUGUUCAGGGCAAUCAUAUAAUGGGAAAAGAUAACUCCUUUAUACAAGCUAUGGCCCCUGAUUGACUAUCGAAUUUACGUUAAAGUUUUAGGGCAGGUUGGGAUAUUUAUUAAUAACUUCUAUACCAUUCGUUCAUUUAACUUAAUACUUCACACAUUUGUUCAGGACCAUCACACAAUGAGGUUACAUAACUCUGUAUUAUCUUUAAUACAAGUUAUAGACCCUGAUUGACUUAGGUUAAAGGUUUAGGGCAGGUUCAAGUUUUAGAACAAGUAGGGAUUUUCACUUAUAAGUCCAAUACCCUUCAUUCCGUUGACUUAAUACUUAACACAGUUGUUCAGUUCCAUCACAUUAUGAGGUAAGAUAACUCCAUGUCAUAUUUUAUACAAAUAAUGGCCCCUGAUUGACUAUGAAACUUAGGUUAAAAUUUUAGGGCAGGUUGGGAUAUUUAUUGAUAACUUCUAUACCCUUCAUUGAAUUGACUUAAUACUUCACACAACUGUUCAGGACCAUCACACAAUGAGGUUACAUAACUCUAUAUUAUCCUUAAUACAAGUUAUGGCCCCUGAAUGACUUAGGUUAACGUUUUAGGGCAAGUUAAAGUUUUAGGGCAAGUUGGGAUUUUAAUAAAAAAAACUUCUAUACCUUCAUUCAAUGCACUUAAUACUUCGCAGAAUUAUUGACAACCAUCUUACAACAAGGAACAUAACUUCAUGUUAGCCUAAAUACAAAUUAUUGCCCUUGAAUGUGUUUUUUUUACUCUUUUUUUAAUUUCUUUUGAAAGGCACAUUUUUAUAUUCCUAACCACAUUUUCAUAAAGGGAAAAUUAUUUAUUAGAAUGACCUGUGUCACUGUUCGGAUGGGCUGGUGUUAGGACAGUGUCAAAGUCACCUUAUGUAUCGAAUAAUUUAGCUAGGUUUGACAUAAAGAGACCAAACUUGGUAUAUGCAAAGAGUUUAAGGAGACCUUUUUUGGGGAAUGCGUUUGAGGCCCCUAUGAUCAAGGUCAAGGUUGCUAUUAUUAAAAAAAGGGUUGUUUUUGAAUA